CCCGGAGCUCCAGGAACUCCAGGUCGCCCUGGUCUGGAUGGACCUCCUGGACCACCUGGUUUCCCAGGAGAGAAGGGAGAGCGUGGAUUUGGAGUUCCAGGACCACCUGGGCCCCCAGGACCCCCAGGCAUAAAAGGAGUUCAAGGACCUAAAGGUGAUCCUGGCUUCCCAGGAAGCCCUGGUCUCCCAGGCCGGGCAGGCUUUGAUGGAACCCCAGGGCCCAAAGGUGACCCUGGACCAAGUGGACCACCAGGACUUCCAGGCCCACCAGGCA
rnacentral:lncRNA from 1 species